ACACGUAGGAGACAAGCGUUAUUCGGAUUUACUGGGCGUAAAGCGCGUGCAGGCGGUCUGACAAGUUGGAUGUGAAAGCUCCUGGCUUAACUGGGAGAGGUCGUUACAAAACUAUCAGACUAGAGAGUGGUAGAGGAAGGCGGAAUUCCGGGUGUAGUGGUAGAAAUGCGUAGAUAUCCGGAGGAACACCAGUGGCGAAAGCGGCCUUCUGGACCAAUUCUGACGCUCAGACGCGAAAGCUAGGGUAGC
rnacentral:rRNA from 1 species